CUUGACAUCCCCUGACCGCGUAUGAAAGUACGUUUUCACCCUCGGGUGACAGGGAGACAGGUGGUGCAUGGUUGUCGUCAGCUCGUGUCGUGAGAUGUUGGGUUAAGUCCCGCAACGAGCGCAACCCCUACGUUUAGUUGCUAACGCGUGAAGGCGAGCACUCUAGACGAACUGCCGUUGGACAAAACGGAGGAAGGUGGGAUGACGUCAAAUCAUCAUGCCCCUUAUGUUCUGGGCUACACACGUGCUACAAUGGCCGGUACAGACGGACGCAAAGCCGCGAGGCGGAGCAAAUCCGAAAAAGCCGGUCUCAGUUCGGAUUGCAGGCUGCAAUUCGCCUGCAUGAAGUCGGAAUCGCUAGUAAUCGCAGGUCAGCAUACUGCGGUGAAUACGUUCCCGGGCCUU
rnacentral:rRNA from 1 species